rnacentral:rRNA from 1 species
AUACGGAAGAUGCGAGCGUUAUCCGGAAUCAUUGGGUUUAAAGGGUGCGUAGGCGGCCUUUUGAGUCAGCGGUUAAAUGUCAGAGCCCAACGUUGGCGGGCCGUUGAUACUGGAGGGCUUGAGUUGUCACAGGGAAGGUGGAAUUCGUCGGGUAGGGGGUGAAUGCUUAGAUAUGACGAGGAACCCCGAUUGCGAAGGCAUCCUUCUGGGGUGUUACUGACGCUGAGGCUCGAAAGCGCGGGUAUCAAACAGGAUUAGAUACCCUGGUAGUCCGCGCCGUAAACGAUGAGUGCUCGUCAUGCGCGACAGACUGUGCGUGACCUAGGGAAACCAUUAAGCACUCCACCUGGGGAGUACGCCGGCAACGGUGAAACUCAAAUGAAUUGACGGGG